AAAAUGACUCUCGGCAACGGAUAUCUCGGCUCUCGCAUCGAUGAAGAACGUAGCGAAAUGCGAUACUUGGUGUGAAUUGCAGAAUCCCGUGAACCAUCGAGUCUUUGAACGCAAGUUGCGCCCAAAGCCUUUUGGCCGAGGGCACGCCUGCCUGGGUGUCACGC
rnacentral:rRNA from 1 species